AGGGUUUCUCUGUGUAGCUCUGGCUGUCCUGGAACUCACUCUGUAGACCAGGCUGGCCUUGAACUCAGAAAUACGCCUGCCUCUGCCUCCCAAGUGCUGGAAUUAAUGGCGUGCGCCACCACCACCCGGCUUUUUUCUUAAUUCUUGUAAAUAGCUUGUAGAAAAUGUUAACUCAUUUUGCUUCUAAAAAUCAACAGCUCAUAAUGUCUGUUUUUAAACAUCCCUUUUUUUUUUUUCUGUAGAGGUACUUUAAAGUGCCUGUGUUUAUUGUUAGGCCCUGUGCUAGGGCCUUGAAGAUGUUGUGGAGAAGAGAACAAAUUCUCUCAACCUUGAUGUUGAAACUAUCAGUAUAAGGGAUUGGAAUUUCUUAAAAACAAAACAAAAAAACUUUAAGAUUUCUUAAACAAUGUGAAUGUGGAGUGCAUGUGGCACCCAUAGGACAGCCUGGGGUGUCAGUCCUUAACAGUACUGUCUGCUGUCUACUGUGUACUGUGAAAUAGUUCAUGAGUGAGCUGUGAAACCAUUAAAUUGUGACCAUUUACAACAAAACAGUGGCCAAGACGAAGUUGUUAGUGUUAAUAUCUCAGAACUUUGAAAUACCCUUUCUGUUUUAAAAACACCUUGGCAUCUUGCAGAUUGAGACUCUUACCCAUUUGAAAAGGAAUGGAGUCUGUAAUCUUGGCACUAGGGAGUGAGAGAUAAAAGAUUCUCAGUUUCAGAAUGAGACUGAUUCAAAACAUGGGGAGAAUAUAUAUUAAUUAACAAGAAUCAUCAAAAAUGGAUGUUUAUUAAUGGAAAACUGAAAUGAGUGAUUUAAGCUGCAGAAGAGAGCCAUGAAGCAGCAGGAGGGAAGGGGGGAACACAGAGACCUUGGCUUUUAGUACACACUGAGCAGAUGCAGCAAGGGCUCUUCAUGGGCUUUAAAACGCCGAUGUUGCUUCAUUUACCCCCAGACUGCAAUACUGACUGAAGGGCUAAAGUCACUGAGUAGGUUUUCCUGAGGCCAGUGGUUUAAUGCACACUGUGGUUUCCCUUUUGUUGUUGAGGGGCUAUGCUCUGGUAGACAGGAGCACCUAUCAGAUACUCAGUGACUAAUUUUUGUUGUUGUUUUGGUUUUUGGUAGACUCUUGUCUAGACUGUAAGCACAUUUUAUGAAACUGGACAGCCAGGUCUCUUCUGUUUAGAUGAGACAGGUUUCUGUAGCUAAACAGAACUGUGCUGUUCUGUAACCAUG
rnacentral:lncRNA from 1 species